GAAUUCCAGGACAGCCAGGGCUUUACAGAGAAACCCUGUCUCGAAAAACCAAAAAAGAAUUUCUGGAUUAAGAUUUCAGUUGGAUAAUCCUAGCACUUGGAAGGCAGAGGCAGGUGAGUCUAGAUAGAUCCUAUAUCAAAAAAGAAAGAGAAAGAAAGAAAGAAAAGAAAAACAAAACACAAAAGAAGAGGGAAACGCAGCCUUGGAGUGCCUGCCUGCCCUCUCCCUGUCAUUAGCAGUGCCCCUGAGUGUCCUAGCACUAGCCCCCUAGAAAAGUCUGCGAAUAGACCAGCAAACCUUGAAUGCUAAACUAAAGGAUUGUGAAUUUGACCCUAGAAGCCAGUGGUUUUUGAUCCUAGAUUAUGUUUUAAGGGUAGAAGGAUGCCACUAGAUGGCUGUGUGGUGUGACACCUGGCCUAGGGGCAGUGCUCCCUUCCAUCCCGUUGACUUCAUGAGAUUCAGCUUUAGUUAUUCUACAAAAAUGCAACUGGAAGUCUGGUUCAUUGGUGCAGUCUUCAGACCCUUUGUGACUAGACAAGACAUUAAGAAAGAGUAAGAAUUUAGAAGCAUGGAACAAUUUUAACAUUAAUAUCUAUAAAUAUACCAUCCAGAGCUAUAUUAUUGUUUUUUUAAUUUCCACUUUCUAGUAAUUUUUGUUUUAUAAAACAAUCUCUAUUUGUUUGGUUCCCCCCCCCCCUUUUAAGGGGCUUAUGUAGCCAAGGCUAGCCUCUAUGUAACUAGAAUGACCUUCAAUUCCUGAUCUUCUAGUUUUUACCCCCAAGCAGAUAACAAUGGUACUGGGGAUCAAAUCCAAGACCUGGUGUGUGCCAGACUGGGUCUUUGUUAACCAUGCCACAUUCCCAGCCUUCCAGAUCAUUUUUGUAAGGCUACUCUAGAGUUGUAAAGAGUCAGAAGGAUCAAGUUUUCAGAAAAGACCACAUUUAAUUUUACUUUUUGUACUUUACACUAAGAAUAUUUAUUAAGAAUAACAAAAAAAAAGAAUAUUUCAUGUUCUACAUGGAUUCAGAAAACUACAUAGAAACAAAAAUUAUAUAUAGCUGGGAGGGUUGUUUGUUUUGUUUUUUUUUAGUUUAAUAUAUGUGUGUGUUUUGCCUGCAUGUGUGUGUCUUGCAUGCCUGGUGCCUGCAAGACUAGAGGAUGUCAAAAGAGGGUGUGUAUCCCCUAGAACUGGAGUUACAGAUGGUUGUAAGUACUAUGUGGGUGCUAGAAAUUGAACCUGGGUCCUCUGGAAGAAUACACUGCUGCUCUUAACUACCAAGCCUUGACAGCCUAGCCCUUGUUUAUUAAAUGCCACCCACUGAGCAUAUCUUGUUAAUAAUGCCUCACUCAGUGCUCAAAAUAAUUCUCUGACAGGUGUUAUUAUAUUAGCCUUGUCUUUCCCAGUGAGGAAUUGUGUUGAAUAACUUAUCUCCAAUUACCAAGAACCUUAAGUGUUAGAGGCAGGAUUCCAAACAGGCCUCUUAAUUCUGAACUGGCAUCUAGUGGAUUCCUUGGCACAAAGACACAGUACAUUAUUUUAGAGAGUGUGUUGAAUUUUUUUUCUCAAAAGAGAACUUAGGGGAACAAAUAGUAUUCUAUUUUUUCAUUCAGAUAUUAGAAUAGCUACAACUGCUUGCUUCUUGGCAACAUUUGUUUGGAAUGCUCUUUCUGGGUUUUUUUGUUUUUUGGUUUUUUUAUCCUAAGGAGGUGUCUGUUAUUGUUAGUGAGGUAUGUUUCUGAGAGGCAGCAAAACAAUGGAUCCUGUUUUCUAAUCCAGGCUAUCCGUCUAUUAGAAAAUGUUUGUUUGUGGUUUUUUUUAAGAUUUAUUUAUUAUAUUUAAGUACACUGUAGCUGUCUUCAGGCACACCAGAAGAGGGCAUCAGAUCUCGUUAUGGAUGGUUGUGAACCAUCAUGUGGUUGCUGGGAUUUGAACUCAAGACCUUCGGAAGAACAGUCAGUGCUCUUAACUGCUGAGCUAUCUCUACAACCCCUAUUAGAAAUUUUAAACAUUAAUAUGAAGUCUUGUUUAACAGUUUAUUAAUUCCUGUUAUUUUGUUGUGACUAGUAUUUUCUUAAACUUGUGUUGGUUAGCUUUUCUGGAAUUGUGUGUGGUCCCCUUGGAUAUGUUUAAUCUUUUCUUCAGUCUGAACUAUUCCUUCUAGUAUUAUCCUUCAUACAAUUGGCUUAAUGGAUAUAAAUUGCUUAAAUCUGUUUUUCAUCAUAGACAUUUUCUUUCUCCUUCGAUUAUGCCUGAUAGUUUUACUUGCAUAUUAGUCUUGGCUGGCAUCUGUAGUCCUAGUACUUGUAGAACCAAGGACUUUCAAAGCUUCCAUUUAAGUCAGGCAUUAAUCUGGUAUGCCUGCCUUUAUAUGUGACUUGGUCUCUCUUGUUGUUUUCAAUAUCCCUAGUUCUGUAUAUUAAAUGUUUUUAUUAUGUGACUGGUAAUUUCGUCUCUGGUUCUGGUAUUCUGUAUGUCUCUUGCACCUUAAUAAAAAACUCCUUAGAUCCCAUAAUUUUGUUGAAGAUAUUUCUGGGUCUUUGACCUGCAUUUCUUCUUUUUUAUAUACUUAUUAUUCAUAGAUUUGGCCUGUUUUGUUUUUUGUUUGUUAGUUCAUUUGUUUUCAAGUCAGGGUUUCUCUGUGUAGCUCUGGCUGUCCUGGAACUCACUCUGUAGACCAGGCUGGCCUCGAACUUGGAGAUCCUGCCUUUUCCUCUUGAACACUGGGAUUAAAGGUUCGUGAUUGCUGAGCGUCCGUCCCUGCUGGAUUGGUUGUUUCACCUCCCUAUGAACAUCCUGUGUCUGAAUGAGCUGCCUCCUCUGGUGGAAGGUUUUAAUCUUGGAGGAAACUGUUAAAGAGCAGAUUUUGAUAUGGUUCAGCUGGGAAAGGCACUUGCCUGAAUUUGAUCCUCAUGUCCGACAUGGUACAAGAGGAGAACUGACUCUAGUGAGUUGUCCUCAGGCUGCCAUAUGUGUACCAUAGCAUGUGCAUGCCCACCCACCACCCACCCCCAAAAUGUAAUUUUUAAAGUAUUUUUUGUCCCUACUGUUGAAGAUUAUAAGUGUAAUUGUAUAGAAAUAAACUACUUUCUCCACUAAUCUAUUGGUAGUAAUUGUGUCCAAUCCUCACACUCUGCUGCUAUCUCCCUUACUACUACUGCUGGGUACAGUGAAAUUUUGAAACCCUCAAACUGAGACAUGAAGAUUAGAAUUAGUUUCUUUUGAAAUUUCCCAUAAUAAUAUUUUUAGCUUCUCCUGAGAAUAUUGGGGUUUUUUGUUUUGUUUUGUUGGCUUUUCAAGACAGGGUUUCCGUGUAUAGCCUGAUUAUCCUAAAACUCACUCUGUAGCCCAGGUUAGCCUUAAAUUCAGACAUUUGGCCACCUGUACCUCCUUGAAUGCUAGAAGUAAAGGUGUUUGUUACCACACCCAAUUUAAAACUUCUUUGGGAGGAAAAAAUGAAUGCUGGGCAUGGUGGUCCAAGGAUUUAAUCCCAGCAUUCAAGAGGCAGAAGCAGGCAGGUCUUUUACAAGCCAGCUAGAACCAUACCAUAACACCCUGUCUCAGGGGGUUUAAAAAAAAAAAAAAGAUUUAUGGCUUUCUUUUCCUAUUACUAUAAAAAACUUCAUGAAACUGAUACCAUGUUGAAAUGUUAACUUUGGGGUAAUUUGAGUCUGUGUUCACAGGCCAUGAUCACUAUGUGACUCCAGAAUAAAUUGUUUCUUAUUUGAGAUAAAAAGCUGUGUGUGUGUUUUGUUUUCUGGGAUUUUAUUUUGGUUGGGCUGGUUUGGGGUGUGGGGCAUGGCAGUGACCCAGCCAUGUUCUCAGCACUAAUAUUUUGAAAUGAAUCCUUUUGUUUCGAGUAGUCCAACAAUCAGCUUAAACUUUUCAAUAAACUGUCAGUCUCUCCUUGAUGCCUAUGGAUCAAGACAGAGAACUUUCAGCUUCUUCUCCAGUUCCAUGCUUGCCCCCACACUGCCAUGCUUCCAACCAUGAUAAUGGACUAAACCUGAACUGUAAGCCAGUCCCAAUUAAAUGUUUUCCUUAAUAGGCAUUGUCAUAGUCAUCAUGUCUUUUCAC
rnacentral:lncRNA from 1 species